rnacentral:rRNA from 1 species
UACAGAGGGUGCAAGCGUUAAUCGGAAUACUGGCGUAAGCGUGCGUAGUCGGUUAUCUAAGUCGGGUGUGAAAUCCCCGGGCUCAACCUCGGGAAUUGCAUUCGAUACUGGAUAGCUAGAGUUCGGCAGAGGGAAGCGGAAUUUCGGGUGUAGCGGUGAAAUGCGUAGAUAUCCGAAGGAACAUCAGUGGCGAAAGCGGCUUCCUGGACCAGAACUGACCGAUCAGGCACGAAAGCGUGGGGAGCAAACAGG